rnacentral:misc_RNA from 1 species
UCUCCCGUGAGGGAGCAGUCUCGCCUGACAUAUAAAACAGGCAACGGGGGUUGCGUUCGUUUCCCCACUUAAGGGAACAGCUCAAGCCACGAACUGACGACGACCAUGCAUCACCUGCCAUUCACCCUCGAAGGCUUCUCCGGUUUCCCGGAGCGUGCAGAAUGGUUUCAAAUCUUGGUAAGGUUCUUCGCUUACCGACGAAUUAAGCCACAUGAUCCACCGCUUGUGCGAGUUCCCGUCUAUUCCUUUGAGUUUUAACCUUGCGGUCGUACUACCCAGGCGGUUCUCUUAACGCGUUAGCUUCGCCACAAAGAGGGUCGAUACUCCUUAUAGCCAGAGAACAUAGUUUAGGGCGUGGACUAC